rnacentral:rRNA from 1 species
AGUCGAGCGGUAGAGAGGUGCUUGCACCUCUUGAGAGCGGCGGACGGGUGAGUAAUGCCUAGGAAUCUGCCUGGUAGUGGGGGAUAACGUUCGGAAACGGACGCUAAUACCGCAUACGUCCUACGGGAGAAAGCAGGGGACCUUCGGGCCUUGCGCUAUCAGAUGAGCCUAGGUCGGAUUAGCUAGUUGGUGAGGUAAUGGCUCACCAAGGCGACGAUCCGUAACUGGUCUGAGAGGAUGAUCAGUCACACUGGAACUGAGACACGGUCCAGACUCCUACGGGAGGCAGCAGUGGGGAAUAUUGGACAAUGGGCGAAAGCCUGAUCCAGCCAUGCCGCGUGUGUGAAGAAGGUCUUCGGAUUGUAAAGCACUUUAAGUUGGGAGGAAGGGUACUUACCUAAUACGUGAGUAUUUUGACGUUACCGACAGAAUAAGCACCGGCUAACUCUGUGCCAGCAGCCGCGGUAAUACAGAGGGUGCAAGCGUUAAUCGGAAUUACUGGGCGUAAAGCGCGCGUAGGUGGUUCGUUAAGUUGAAUGUGAAAUCCCCGGGCUCAACCUGGGAACUGCAUCCAAAACUGGCGAGCUAGAGUAUGGUAGAGGGUGGUGGAAUUUCCUGUGUAGCGGUGAAAUGCGUAGAUAUAGGAAGGAACACCAGUGGCGAAGGCGACCACCUGGACUGAUACUGACACUGAGGUGCGAAAGCGUGGGAGCAAACAGGAUUAGAUACCCUGGUAGUCC